UACAGAGGUCCCGAGCGUUGUUCGGAUUCACUGGGCGUAAAGGGUGCGUAGGUGGUGAGGUAAGUCGGAUGUGAAAUCUCCAAGCUCAACUUGGAAAUGGCAUUGGAAACUACCUUGCUGGAGGUUUGGAGGGGGGACUGGAAUUCUCGGUGUAGCAGUGAAAUGCGUAGAUAUCGGGAGGAACACCGGUGGCGAAGGCGGCUACCUGGACAGGUACUGACGCUGAUGCGCGAAAGCCAGGGGAGCAAACAGG
rnacentral:rRNA from 1 species